CUCAAGAUUCCUCUAGUACAGCGAUGCCCAUCUUAAUUCGGCCCGCCGGCCACAUCCAAGAAAAGGUAAAUAAACGAAAUGAAAUGAACCAGAAACUAUUUGGAAACUAUUUGGAUUGAAGACUUACAUUCAUGAUUUGGAUAGUGGAAGUUUAUUGUUUUUUUUUUACGGAAAACGGCUUAAUUUCUCUACUUAAAAUGUAAGCAAAAUUGUAGCUAGCUUUAUUACCGACUCAUUUUCUUGUCUCUUUUUGGUAAAUAUUCUACAAAAUCUUUCAAUCUCUAGGCCUAGUUUAAAAAUCUUGUAUAUGCCGUUCAAACUAAGAAUGGCGUCAUAUUUGUUUCACAAUACCGUUUAUCUGUUGUUGUUUUUUUAAGCAUCCAAAAUUUGUUGGCUUAUUAUCAUGUUCCACAAACAAUUAAAAAUCCAUUUUCCAGGUAGACUCUUCAUUCAGAGUCCCAGUCAUUAACGACCAAAUGUUAACGGCCAUGGUACCAAUCCAUCAGAGAAAUAGUGAGGACCCUGGCCACUAUAGGAAACGACAGAGUACACAAGAUCAAUAAGUUUACAUUUUUAAACUUCGCCGGGCGUCUGAUAAUCCCAGCAGUAAUGCGACAACAAUAAGGUUUGUGUGAGAACGGUUCAUGUCCCAAACUCUAUAUUUUGAGAUCACUCUUAAAUUAUCUUCACACCGCUCUUUCCUGACACUUUCUUUUCUUUCUCUCUCUCUCUCUUUCUCUCUGACUCUCACACACACAUAGUAAUAGUUAAUUAUUUCCCCGCCUUAAAAAAAAACAAUAAAACUAUACGCACUUUCUUUCUAUAAAUAGUUUUAAGUAGUUAGGUUUUAAAACGUAAACUACGACUGUCCUUCUAUAUUUUUGUUGAAGAUGGUUAGAUUUUUCAACUCAAGGCAAAGUUUUAACUGAGAUGUAGUUUACAAAAAAAAAA
rnacentral:sRNA from 1 species